UAUGUAGGCGGUUUGCCAAGUUCGGUGUGAAAUCUCCCGGCUUAACUGGGAGGGUGCGCCGAAUACUGGCAGGCUAGAGUGCGGGAGAGGAAAGCGGAAUUCCUGGUGUAGCGGUGAAAUGCGUAGAUAUCAGGAGGAACACCUGCGGUGUAGACGGCUUUCUGGACCGCCACUGACGCUGAGACACGAAAGCGUGGGUAGCAAACA
rnacentral:rRNA from 1 species